rnacentral:rRNA from 1 species
GCCCAACCAUAAUACAACAAUUAAACCACAAAUUGUUCGCCAAAUAACUACGAGUAAAAACUUAAAAUUUAAAAGACUUGACGGUACUUCACAACAACCUAGAGGAGCCUGUCCAAUAACCGAUAACCCACGAUUAAUCCUACCCCCUCUAGCCUACAGUCUAUAUACCGCCGUCGCCAGCCUACCUUGUGAAAGAAAUAAAGUAAGCAAAACAAUACCACAUUAACACGACAGGUCGAGGUGUAACUAAUGGGGGGGGAAAGAUGGGCUACAUUUUCCACAAGAACAGACGAAUGCGGCUAUGAAGCCGGCCGCUGAAGGAGGAUUUAGCAGUAAGAUAAGAAUAAAAUGCCUAACUGAAACAUGCAAUGAAGUGCGUACACACCGCCCGUCAUCCCUGUAAUACUACUAUAAAAUAUAUAAUAACUAUCACCAAUAAAGCAGGGCAAGUCGUAACAUGGUAAGUGUACUGGAAAGUGUACUUAGUAA